UUUUUUUAAUACUCUCAUUUUCUACAAUUUUCAUAGGAAUACGAGGACCAGUAAUAACAUUCCUCCAGUAGUUUAUAUCAAACUGAUUCCAUGAAAUUUUCCAUUCUGGUUUUUCAAUAAGAGUAAUUAGAACCAUUGAACAAAGGAGGUCUAGAAACAAAUUGACCUUUCAAAGAAGUGAGAGGAAGUGGGGUUACCAUGGGAUCUUAUCUCUUAAGCUGUUAAGCUUCGGUAAGUCAAGAGCCAAAGCUUUGAUACCAGGUUGUGGGUCCCGUAUAUUUGUGGCACAACCCAAGAGGGGGGUGAAUUGGGUUUUCUAAAAAUAAAAAUUUAGCUUUAAAAACAAAACUCAGAAUUCUAAUUGCAGCGGAAAAAAUUAACGAAUUUGUGAAAAUAAGUUAUAGAUUAGAACUUCCUCAUAAUGUUCUAUUCAAGAAAAAUAAAAAGGCUUUGUAAAAUACAACUAUUAAUUAGAACUGCUUCACAAUGUCUUAUUUAAUAUCAGAACUACUUUAUGACGGAAAGCUAUUGAAAUUAGAACUACCUUAUAAAGUUUAGAAAAUCAGAAAAGACUAUGUGAGAAACAGUUAUCGAAAUCAGAACUGCUUCACAAAGAUUUAACCAAGUUUAGAAGACUGAUUAGGAACCCAAACAGUGAAAUAUACUGAAAAUAGAAGAACUGUUUAGAACUUGAUAUAUUCACUUUUAACAGAAUUCCAGAAUUCUAAUGUUCAGAGAAGAUAGAACUUAUUUCAGUUUUAGAACAUCAAAACGAUUAACAACUUUAGCAUUUUUAGAGUAUAAAUAGAAGUGUGAGUAAAAUAGUAUGAAGCAAAACUUCAGAAAUUAAAAAGAUCAACACAGUGAUUUAUAGUGGUUCGGCACUAACUCGCCUACAUCCACUCCCCAAGACUCAUCUUGAGAUCCUCAACUAUGUUAUCUCUUUUCAAGGGUAAGAGACUGUUUUCGUCGAAAAUCCCCCCGAAGGACCCGAAAACAUCCUUUUUGGUUUUUUGAUUAAAUGUUUUUAUUUUGGAUGCGGUGCCGAUAAAUCGGUCUUAUAAACAAUUUUGAGUCGCCACCCAUUGUUUAGGCAAUGAGACCAUUUUUGAAAAUGACUCCAUUUUAAAUCCAAUUUUGUUUUAAGGCUAAAUUAUUUUAAAAGACUGGUCAGGCGCACCAAUGCGAUUCUGGGUAAGGGAAUUGGGUACGUCAGCCCGUUGGAAGCCGACGCCCGGAAAAACCGGCCUCUAUUAUUAACCUAUGUUUUCUAAUUUAUUUUAGUUAGAAAAGCCAAAUUAUUUAUUUACUUAAACCCAACCCAAAUAAAUCGGACCGAGUUCCUAUUUN
rnacentral:lncRNA from 1 species